AGGAGGGGCCCCUCCAUCCCCACUCUUUCUCUCCGCCUCGGUUGAUCACCCCAUUAAAUCUCAGGCGUGAGGAGCUCGUUUGUGUUUUCUGUAUUCGUUGCCUCCACUGAUUUGUUUAAUGUUUAGUUUAAUCUGCAGUUCUAAAAAAAUGUCAGUGUGGCUUCGGCAGAAAGGACUUUCUCCACUUUAAGAAGAGUAAAGACUUGGCUGAGAUCAAGAAUGGGAGAAACACGUCUCACGGGCCUUUGCAUGCUUCACGUUCACAGGCAUCUUCAAGUGGACACAGAUAAAAUAAUAGAACGAUUUGCAAAGAAAGGUGCAAGAAGGCUUGAGUUUGUGUUAUAAGUUUUGUAUUUUGAACCAGUAUUUGUUUUAAAAGCCAUCUUGUACACAAUAAACUCGUUUUCAGUAAA